rnacentral:rRNA from 1 species
GACGAACGCUGGCGGCGUGCCUAACACAUGCAAGUCGAACGGAAAGGCCCUGCUUUUGUGGGGUGCUCGAGUGGCGAACGGGUGAGUAACACGUGAGUAACCUGCCCCUGACUUUGGGAUAACUUCAGGAAACUGGGGCUAAUACCGGAUAGGAGCUCCUGCUGCAUGGUGGGGGUUGGAAAGUUUCGGCGGUUGGGGAUGGACUCGCGGCUUAUCAGCUUGUUGGUGGGGUAGUGGCUUACCAAGGCUUUGACGGGUAGCCGGCCUGGGAGGGUGACCGGCCACAUUGGGACUGAGAUACGGCCCAGACUCGUACGGGAGGCAACGGUGGGGAAUAUUGCACAGUGAGCGGAAGCCUGGUGCGGCAACGCCGCGUGCGGGAAGACGGCCUUCGGGUUGUAAACCGCUUUCGCCUGUGACGAAGCGUGAGUGACGGUAAUGGGUAAAGAAGCACCGGCUAACUACGUG